UUCAUUUACUACUGUAAGUCGCUCUGGAUAAGAGCAUCUGCUAAAUGACUAAAA
rfam:Salmo salar isolate Sally breed double haploid chromosome ssa14, whole genome shotgun sequence.